CCUCCUUUGUUCCUCCUUUCUUCCUCUUUUUCCCUUUCCUCUCUUCUGCCCCCGCCCCGUCGCGUGCCGGAUGACUGCCCUAUGGGUUGUAAACUUCUUUUAUAAAGGAAUAAAACGAGGCACGUGUGCCUUUUUGCAUGUACUUUAUGAAUAAGGAUCGGCUAACUCCGUGCCAGCAGCCGCGGUAAUACGGAGGAUCCGAGCGUUAUCCGGAUUUAUUGGGGUUAAAGGGAGCGUAGAUGGGUUGUUAAGUCAGUUGUGAAAGUUUGCGGCUCAACCGUAAACUUGCAAUUGAUACUGGCAGUAUUGAGUACAGUUGAGGUAGGCGGAAUUCGUGGUGUAGCGGUGAAAUGCUUAGAUAUCACGAAGAACCCAGAUUGCGAAGGCAGCUUACUAAACUGUGACUGACAGUGAUGCUCGAAAGUGUGGGUAUCAAACAGGAUUAGAUACCCGUGUAGUC
rnacentral:rRNA from 1 species